rnacentral:rRNA from 1 species
CAGCCGCCGCGGGAAUACCGAGGGUGCAAGCGUUAAUCGGAAUUACUGGGCGUAAAGCGCACGCAGGCGGUCUGUCAAGUCAGAUGUGAAAUCCCCGGGCUUAACCUGGGAACUGCAUUUGAAACUGGCAGGCUAGAGUCUUGUAGAGGGGGGUAGAAUUCCAGGUGUAGCGGUGAAAUGCGUAGAGAUCUGGAGGAAUACCGGUGGCGAAGGCGGCCCCCUGGACAAAGACUGACGCUCAGGUGCGAAAGCGUGGGGAGCAAACAGGAUUAGAUACCCCGGUAGUCCCUGUCUCUUAUAC